ensembl:lncRNA
GGGAUUUGUUUAAAAGAAGGAGCAACCAAAAAAGAGCAUAAGGAAUAUUAUGUUAGGGCUUAUACCAGCCAUUAGUUCUGAUUACUGGGGAGCUUUUGAGGAGCAAAAUUGCAGUGAUGAUUGGAAUCGCUUUCAGAGUUUCUUGGCUUUGUUGCCUGCUAAUUGGCGGGAUAACCUGUUCUACAUCAAGUGAUGGGUAUCCUGCACCAGGUUCUGAUGCAGCAUGGCUCUAUACAGGCCCACUUAGGUCUAAAGGAUAUGGUAAUUUCAACUCUCCAACAGCUCAAUUGCAAGCGCAGCUGACCGAAGAGCAACAUGCACAUCUGGAAGCCAUCCUCCAAAAUCAACUGGCCCCCAUGCCCCAGGCAUCUCAGAAAAUGUGGUAUCCAACUCAAAUGCCCCAGCAGGAAAAGCAACCGGCCGCCAUGAGCCAAAAGCAGACGCUACCGGCCAGUUAUCCUAAGCAGCCUCAAGCAGUGUUGUAUCCAGCUCAAAUGCCCCAGAAGCAACCAGUUACUGAACUUCUGCAUCAGAAGGAACUGGCCUCCAUACCUCAGCAAGUGUGGCAUCAAGUUCAAAUUCCUCAGCAGCAAAAGCAACCAGCUACUGGUCCUCAGCAGCAGACGGAACUGACCACCAUGCCCCAGAAGCAACCGGCUCCAAUGCCUAUACCGCAGAAACAACCAACAGCUAUGCCCCAGAAAGCAUGGUAUCAAGCUCAAAUGCAGCAAAAGCAACCGGCCACCAUGCACCAGCAAGUGUGGCAUCCAGCUCAAUUGCCCCAGCAGCAAAAGCAACUGGCUACUGAACCUGAUCAGCAGAAGGAACCGGCCACCAUGCACCAGCAAGUGUUGCAUCCAGCUCAAAUGCUGCUGAAGCAACUGACUGCCAUGCCCCAGCAAGUGUGGUAUCCAGCUAAGCCCCAGAAGCAACUGGCCGCUGAUCCUCAGGAGCAGAUUGAACUGACCGCCAUGCCCCAGCAACCUCAGCAAGUGUGGUAUCCAGCUCAAAUGCCCCAGAAGUAACCAACCGCUGAUCCUCAGUGGCAUCCAGCCAAAUUUCCCCAGGAGCAACCAGUCCCUAUGCGUCAACUGCAGAAGGAACUGACUGCCAUUCCACCACAACUGUGGCAAUCCGCUCAAAUUCCCCAGCAGCAUAAGCAAGUGUGGCAACUGGCCCCCAUGCCCCAGCAGCCUCAUGAUGUGUGGUAUCCAGCUAAAAUGGUCCAGAAGCAACAAGCAGCUGCAACUCGGCGGCAGAAGGAACUGACCACCAUGCCUCAAGAGUGGCAUCCAGCUCAAUAUCCCCAGCAGCAGAAGCAACCAGCCCUAAUGGUUUCACCGCAGAAGGAACUGACCGCCAUACACCAGCAAGAGUGGCAUCCAGCUCAAAUGCAGCAGAAACAACAGGCCACCAUGCCCCCGCAAGUAUGGCAUCCAGCUCAAAUGCCUCAGGAGCAAAAGCAACCAGCUACUGAACCUCGGCAGCAAAUUGAACCGACCGCCAUGCCACAGCCACCUCAGCAAUUGUGGCAUCCAGAUCAAUUUCUCCAGGAGCAGAAGAAACCAGCCCCUAUGCAUCUACCGCAGAAGGAACUGACCGCCAUUCCACCACAACUGUGGCAAUCCGCUCAAAUUUUACAGCAACAUAAGCAACCGGCUGCCAUGCUUCAGCAAGUGUGGCAUCGGGCACAGAAGCAACCGGCCCCUAUGCCCCAGCAGCCUCAUGACGUGUGGUAUCCAGCUAAAAUGGUCCAGAAGCAACAAGUCACUGCACUGACCGCCAUGCCGCAGACACAUCAGCAAGUGUGGCAUCCAGCUGAAUUUCCCCAGCAGCAGAAGCAACCGGCCUCCACGCCUCUACCGCAGGAGCAACCGACCGCCGUACCCCAGCAAGUGUGGUAUCCAGCUCAAAUGUCACGGCAGCAACUGGCCUCCAUGCCUCUACAGCAGAAGGAACUGACCGACGUGCCUCAGCAAGAGUGGCAACCAGCUCUACCGCAGAAGCAACCGGCUGCUGAACCACAGCAGAACGAACCGGCCACCAUACCCCAGCAAGUGGGGAAUCCAGCUCAAAUGUCCCAGCAGCGGAAGCAACACACUGCCAUGCCACAGCACCAACUGACCCCCAUGCCUCAGCAAUUAUGGCAUGUAGCUCAAAUGCCCCAGAAGCAACUGGCCCCAAUGUCUCAGCAGAAUCACUACGAAAGCACUGAAGAUGGUGCCUUUAGUAGCACUCAGGCCAGCAUCGUUGAACAGUCGGGUGUCAUCCCAAUCUAUUCCUACAGUUCCAAAUCUCACUACGAGAAUGGCAGAACUGUCUUCUCCCAAACCCGCUACACUCCUAGGGAGGCUAUGCCUGUUGACAGUGGAAGUGCUCCCAAGGACAGUUUUGUUGGUACUGGUGCACCUAGCGUCUAUCCAUCACUAGUGAAGGAUUCUGCAAGGAAAAUGUAAUGGAUUCAUCCUCUAGAAGCUAAUGGAAGUGCCUGGUGCUCUUGCUACUCUAGCGUGAGGGAGUACAUGAACAGUUCUACUUCCAAAAAUGCCCUGUCUCUGUGAAAUAAUGGUUCUCCUGUCCAUUGCUUGCUAAUUGAGAACAGGUGGUGUGCAGUCUGUAGUAAAAAUGACUGUUCAGUUAAUUAUUUUGUUUUCUAAUCUUUUACCUUUGCUACUGGUUGUUCAAAAUAAAAGCUUGGGUCUACAUUUGUCAAGGGGUGAGUUGUCAGACAUUCUUCGUAUGUUCAUACUUUAGAUGUAGGCAUGCAUUGUAUACAGUGAGACUGUCUUCAACCUCAGUCCAAGUUGUUGGUCAGUAAGAUAACAAAUAAGGAAUAGUUUUUAGAUGGUCAGACCAUGGCUCAUCUAGCUACUAGAAUUGAGUGACCAUUUGGUUUCAAAAUUGCAUUUGGCCUUAUACUAUAGCCCAUACCACAAAUGGCAGAGUUAAAUCAGUUUAGGAGUGUCUGUUCCAUAUCUAGUUGACUCAAAUGUUAUUUUGGAUGCUUCUACCUCCAUACUUCUGUUUGUAUGGGUUACCUGUCUUACAAUUGUGGGGUCAUAGAGGGAAACGUAACUAUGUUCGGGAGUCAAUUUCCCAUAACGGUCCGUUUGUAGGCCAAACCGUUCUGAAGCUAUAGAUGUUUUUGAGACUGCAUUUUUGGGGUGUCUGACCAACACCACUGUAGCUCGGCCCCUGUCCACUGCAGAUGCAUAAGGGCGACAGGCGGCUGCAGUGGCUUGAGACGCAGCCCAUUCAAAAUGUUCUAGCUUCAACUGGAUUUUGAUGGGCCUUUUACUUUGACUGCCUCAAUACUCUUCACCUGUAGCCCAUUCCUCCUAGUCCAUUUAUUGUACCACAGGCUCCUAUGGAAUGGAUUCGGUGUAUUUGAUUUCUACAAUGGUUUAACCUAUCAAUUAACAAAUAUAUUCUGUAUAGACUAUCUUCAAACAUGAUCAUUUUCCUUAAGAUAUUAUUAAUCUCACUGCGUAUUGUGAGAAUUCAGCCCUUAAAUGGAUCCAUUAAGUUCCAAAGUGGAAGCUGGAAGGCACUAGCAUGACAGUUCAGCUAGCAUAAGAUGUCACCCAGGACUUUUGCACAACUUGACAUAUUUGCAUGUUGUAGUUGACUCUGUUUGGCCAGACUCAUGAACAUGAAUGAAAUUGUAUAUGCAUUGAAUUUUCUACAAGAAGUUACACUUUGUCCAACAGCAAUCUCAUGUCUAG